UACGUAGGGUGCAAGCGUUGUCCGGAAUUAUUGGGCGUAAAGGGCUCGUAGGCGGUUUGUCGCGUCGGGAGUGAAAACUCAGGGCUUAACCCUGAGCCUGCUUCCGAUACGGGCAGACUAGAGGUAUGCAGGGGAGAAUGGAAUUCCUGGUGUAGCGGUGAAAUGCGCAGAUAUCAGGAGGAACACCGGUGGCGAAGGCGGUUCUCUGGGCCGAUACUGACGCUGAGGAGCGAAAGCGUGGGGAGCGAACAGG
rnacentral:rRNA from 1 species